AUGACAGUGGGGCAGCAGGGCCAAACCUGUGCAGUGCUGUGACCCUUGGGUACCAGGUUGCAACGCCCAGCAUGGGGAGCCGGGCCCAUCCCCGCAGCAUGGGAACCAAGCCACUGCUGCGGGGUGAGAGCAGGGCUUGCUCACUCUAACACCACCACUACGUUCCCCCCCACCACCACCCCCAGCACCCCCUCAGUGGUAAUUUUUUGGAACAGGCGGGGGCUUAGUGUCCUGGCCCUCCAAACACCUCUGUGUGGCCCUGAUCUAGAUGCAGGGGUGGGCCCCAAAUCUUUGUACACUGAGUUUACCCCUCUCCCUUCCACAUCAACAAUGGCACCUCUCCUGUAGAAAUCUAGGUGCGGGUGCACUCCUCCCUGCUGGAAAACAUUGUUGGCGAAAUCAUGGUCCCUCUGAAGUCCAUGGGAGUUUUGCCGUUGACUUCCAUAAGGCCAGGAUUUCACCCUCUGUCUCCAGUGGUGGUAUGAAUGCUUCCCAAGCCUGAGGGACAUACACAACUCAUGUGCUCUGCCAAAGAGCAGGAGAUCGAACUUACUGGGAAUGCCUGAGACGAGCUUCAGAGGCCUGAGCACACGCACCGCUCUCAGGGUCCGCAGGUCCACAUGGGUGUUGAAGUGAGUUCCAGCCGUGGCGAGGAUGCUGCAGCCAGACAACGAGAAGGCAGAGUCAUUAGCCACAGAGACCUGGCAGUGUGAAUGUGCCCGCGAGAGGGAGGCAUCAUGACUAGGCCAUCACAGACGAGGCAUCCGACAGCCUGAAUUGGUGCACCUUACCCUCCGGAGUGAAAUGACAAGCACCAGGAGAAAAAUCUGAGCCAGGCGCCUGCUUAAUCUGGGAGGUGGCUGCAGCGGUGGUGUUCUGGCCCAACAGUCUCAGGCCUGGCCACCUAAUCCCACAAUAUCCCAUCCAGAUUCAUGAAACGUCUCAACCCCAAACGUGGAAUUUUGGAGGAGUUUGGAUCCGGCUUUGAGUUCCAGAGGCCAGCUGUAUGGAAGAGGACCAAAACCCUGGCUCUGAGCACUCCUGAGUUGCGGGGAAGUUCUGAUCCACACAGCUCCAGAUCAUCUGUAAAAAUUAAGUAUACUCCUGCUGAAAGUUUUGGGUUCCUGUUCAUGAAUCUGGUGAUGUUGCAAAUGUGUCAGCUGAUCUCACCUUUUCCGAGAGAAUUAAAAAAGCCAUGUAUUAA